GUCCGGCGUCGUUAACUUUUACAAAAAUCUUCUCCUCUGAAACUACCAGGCCAAAUUUUACCAAACUUGGCCACAAUCAUCAUUGGGGUAUCUAGUUAAAAAAAUGUGUCCGGUGACCCGGUCAACCAACCAAGAUGGCCGCCAUGGCUAAAAAUAGAACAUAGGGGUAAAAUGCGGUUUUUGGCUUAUAACUCAAAAACCAAAGCAUUUAGAGCAAAUCUGACAAGGUUAAAUUGUUCAUCAGGUCAAGAUCUAUCUGCCCUUAAAUUUUCAGAUGAAUCGGACAACCCAUUGUUGGGUUGCUACCCCUAAAUUGGUAAUUUUUAAGGAAAUUUUGCGGUUUUUGGUUAUUAUCUUGAAUACUAUUAUAGAUAGAGAUAACCUGUAAACAGCAAUAAUGUUCAGAAAAGUAAGAUCUACAAAUAAGUCAACAUGACUGAACUGGUCAAUUGACCCCCUAAGGAGUUAUUGUCCUUUAUAGUAAAUUUUUAACAAUUUUCAUAAAAUUUGUAAAUUUUUACUAAUAUUUUCCACUGAAACUACUGGGCCAAGUUCAUUAUAGAUAGAGAUAAUUGUAAGCAGCAAGAAUGUUCAGUAAAGUAAGAUGUACAAACACAUCACCAUCACCAAAACACAAUUUUGUCAUGAAUCUAUCUGCUUCUUUUGUUAAAUAUUCACAUAUACCAAGGUGAGCGACACAGGAUCUUUAGAGCCUCUAGUUAU
rnacentral:lncRNA from 1 species